AGAGUUUGAUCCUGGCUCAGGAUGAACGCUGGCGGCGUGCUUAACACAUGCAAGUCGAGCGGAGCACAUCAUUGGAAUCCUUCGGGAGGAAGAGGAUGUGGCUUAGCGGCGGACGGGUGAGUAACGCGUGGACAACCUGCCCUAUGCAGGGGGAUAACAUCCGGAAACGGGUGCUAAUACCGCAUAAGCGCACAGUACCGCAUGGUACAGUGUGAAAAGCUGAGGCGGCAUAGGAUGGGUCCGCGUUGGAUUAGGCAGUUGGCGGGGUAACGGCCCACCAAACCGACGAUCCAUAGCCGGCCUGAGAGGGUGGACGGCCACAUUGGGACUGAGACACGGCCCAGACUCCUACGGGAGGCAGCAGUGGGGAAUAUUGCACAAUGGGGGGAACCCUGAUGCAGCGACGCCGCGUGGGUGAGGAAGUACUUCGGUAUGUAAAGCCCUAUCAGCAGGGAAGAAAAUGACGGUACCUGACUAAGAAGCCCCGGCUAACUACGUG
rnacentral:rRNA from 1 species